GCUCCGCGGCCCUAUCAGGCUUGUUGGGAGUAACGGAUUCCACACAAGGCGAUCGAUCGGUAAGCCGCCUUGAGACGGGUGACCGUCACCAUGGGACUGAGACCCGGCCAGACUCCUACGGGAAGCAGCAGUGGGGAAUAUGCACAAUGGGCGCAGCUGAUGCAGCAACGCCGCGUGAGGGAUGACGUCUUCGGUGUAAACCUCUUUUAGCAGGGAGAAGCGAAAGUGACGGUACUGCAGAAAAAGCGCCGGCUAACUACGUGCCAGCAGCCGCGGUAAUACGUAGGGCGCAAGCGUUGUCCGGAAUUAUUGGGCGUAAAGAGCUCGUAGGCGGUCUGUCGCGUCUGCUGUGAAAUCCCGAGGGCUCAACCUCGGGGCUUGCAGUGGGUACGGGCAGACUAGAGUGCGGUAGGGGAGAAUGGAAUUCCUGGUGUAGCGGUGGAAUGCGCAGAUAUCAGGAGGAACACCGAUGGGCGAAGGCAGUUCUCUGGGCCGUAACUGACGCUGAGGAGCGAAAGCGUGGGGAGCGAACAGGAUUAGAUACCCUGGUAGUCCACGCCGUAAACGUUGGGCGCUAGUUGUGGGGACCAUUCCACGGUCUCCGUGACGUAGCUAACGCAUUAAGCGCCCCGCCUGGGGAGUACGGCCGCAAGGCUAAAACUCAAAGGAAUUGACGGGGGCCCGCACAAGCGGCGGAGCAUGCGGAUUAAUUCGAUGCAACGCGAAGAACCUUACCAAGGCUUGACAUAUAGAGGAAAAGGCUGGAAACAGUCUCCCCGCAAGGUCUCUAUACAGGUGGUGCAUGGUUGUCGUCAGCUCGUGUCGUGAGAUGUUGGGUUAAGUCCCGCAACGAGCGCAACCCUCGUCCUAUGUUGCCAGCGGUUCGGCCGGGAACUCAUGGGAUACUGCCGGGGUCAACUCGGAGGAAGGUGGGGAUGACGUCAAAUCAUCAUGCCCCUUAUGUCUUGGGCUUCACGCAUGCUACAAUGGCCGGUACAAAGGGCUGCAAUACCGCAAGGUGGAGCGAAUCCCA
rnacentral:rRNA from 1 species